rnacentral:ncRNA from 1 species
AAUCAGGCUUGGCUCUGACCUAUUUAUAUAGCGAAAACGAAGAAAUACACAUGGUUUUUAUUGAAAGUAGCGAGGUAAAAAGGAACUUAGUAUAAAUAUAAAAUUUAUAACUACAUUCUUUUUUAAAGUAUUAUAGAUAUAAAAAAUGCUUUGAAAAGUCCCGUCAACACCAGUGCUGAAGAUUAAUUAUAUAAGCGAAAGCUUGAAUUAGUUUAGUGUUAAAAAUCUGGUUAACUUGGUGCCAGCAUCCGCGGUUACACCAAGAGAUUAAGUUAUAUUUUAAGGUAAAAAGACAGUUAGGCAUAGAUUUAAUUAUUUUAGUUUACUGAUUAUCUAUAUAAAAGUAAAAUUUGUGUAUAGAUUAUUAAUCCUGUUUUAACUAUAUUCGCUGAAGCUGUGAUAGUCUUGAGGGAAACUGGGAUUAGAUACCCCAUUAUUCUUGACUGUAAAUAGAAUUAAUUUUUACCGGAGUACUACGAAUGUUUAAAAAAUUUAAAACUCAAAGGGCUUGGCGGUGUUUUAGACCUAUUAGGGGAACCUGUCCCAUAAUCGACAAUCCACGUUAUACCUAACCCUAUUUUGUACUCAGUUUGUAUACCGUCGUCGUCAGGUAACUUUUAAAAAAUUAGAAGUUAGCAUUAUAAAUUUUUGUAAAUUAAAACGUCAGAUCAAGGUGCAACCAAUAAAAGGGAGAGGAUGGGUUACAAUUAUUUUAAUUAUAAUUACGAAUAAGUUAAGUGAAAUAUAAUUUGAAGGAGGACUUAAAAGUAAAAUGAACUAUAAAAAUAUUUUGAAUAAGGCUCUGAAACGUGCACACAUCGCCCGUCGCUCUCGUUGAAAAACGAGAUAAGUCGUAACAUAGCAGGGGUAAUGGAAAUUGUCCCUAGAUGA